GUUAUAUGGUCAAGUGAUUAAGCGCACACGGCGGAUGCCUAGGCGACAAGAGGCGAUGAAGGACGUGGUAGCCUGCGAAAAGCUUCGGAGAGUCGGCAAACAGACUUUGACCCGGAGAUGUCCGAAUGGGGAAACCCAUCCCGCUUGCGGGAUAUCUUCAGCUGAAUACAUAGGCUGGGGAAGCGAACCCAGGGAACUGAAACAUCUAAGUACCUGGAGGAAAAGAAAUCAACCGAGAUUCCCUGAGUAGCGGCGAGCGAAAGGGGACCAGCCCUAAAGUGCUGGAUUAGCUAGUGGAACGCUCUGGAAAGUGCGGCCAUAGCGGGUGAUAGCCCCGUACACAAAAGCUUAUCCAGUAUGAUUCGAGUAGGUCGGGACACGUGUUAUCUUGACUGAACAUGGGGGGACCAUCCUCCAAGGCUAAAUACUCC
rnacentral:rRNA from 2 species